CAGUACACUAUUAUUCCUGUUUAGAUGCCAGUCAGGCUUUGAUUGAACACUUGAAGGAUGAAUACCAUCAGUAUAUGCUACAAGCUGCCAUAUCUAAUGAGGCUUUGACCUGUUUAUCUAUUCCAGAUACAUACAUUUAGACCUUUGUGGCAUCCAGUGCUAUAAGUGACACUCUCAAAUUCAUUCCAAAGUACUCCAGACUCCAAAGCAUGUCCCUUUCAUCCAUUCAGAAAUCUUGGAUUCAUAAAUGGGAGAAGCACAUAAGGGAGAAGAAGAUGAUUGGAAGGAUGGAGAGGGAUCACAUCAUUUGGAGGGAUAGAAUGCCACUGUUUGAUGUUUUUAUGCAUUUUUGUUUGCUUUCGACUGUGUUUGCACUAGCUCCUGGUCUACUAUAAAUCUUCGAUUUGUAAUGAUGUGUAAUGCUGCUGGUUUAUUACAAAUCUGGGCUUGUUUUAGUAUUUA